AUGUUUCCAUGGUGAUGUGGGCACUGUAAACACUGGGAGUCUCAGUGUUUUUGACCGUGGAUAAGAAAUGUCUUAUACUUAAGAGAUUAAAAUGUCGGCGUUAUGGAAAUUGUCAGCUCCACUGUCACCCAAAAAGGACCCCAGCCAACCUCUGGAGUUAGUGAGAUGCAUUGGGAAGGCCAUAUAUAAGACAGAUUCAGGAAUCACAGGAGCUCAUAUGGAAAAUAGCAAAUUUGCUAAAUUAACGAAAAAACAGACAAAAGGUUCAAUAAGAAGUAAGCCUGGGAAUCUCAGACCGAAUUGGUCAUACCAAAGUAUGUCUCAGCUUGCAGUCUAUCCAAGGCUGGGGACGGUGAAUGCAGAGAAAUGGUGGAGCACUGAAAUGUCAGGGUGGGAUUUGUCUGAGAGGACAAAAAGCUGCCACAGAUUUAAAUCUCCUUCAAGGAGACCCAGUCCAGCAUUCUGGGUAUGGCUUCCCACACAUCCCGGGUCACCACUGCCCGGACUCAGCAUUCCCAGGAUUCAAAGGCUAGUAGGCUGCGGAAAAGCAUGAAGCAUGAAAACUAUCAAUCCAGUAGGGGCAGCAUUGAGCCAUUAAACCGGCCAAUGCAGGGUAGAAGAAUCCCACUGAAGAGAAGGACAUUAUGUCUGAAAACUCCAAUGGCAGCGGGCCUACAUGGUCCGUGCGUAUUGCAGUGUGUUGGCUUCGCUACAGGGCGGGGUGAUGCUGAGCAGGAAAAGAGCUGCAACAGUGACAUGAACUCCCAGCAUUUCGGCAUUUUCGCAAGGGGAAGCUGCAGGAGCCGACAUGGUGGUCAGUUUGGCUCUCUCAGAAGCAAAGUUGCCCUCACAAGUAUGGGAGCUCCCAGGCAAAGUACCAUUAGCACUAUUGCCCACAGAAGAGCCUGCUGCAUUUCAGACAUGCAAGGCCUCCAUGUGGAGGAGAGAGAUUCAUCCUUAUUCAAAGGGACCAAGCCUUCUGGCUCAUCACCAGCUGGAAGCCACACAGAAAUCUCCCUGCUAAAUUCCUAAAAUGCCACAUGGGCGGAAAAAAUAUUUAGAUGCAAGGUACACAUCAGAAAAGUAAGAAUUUAGAUAAUCCAGAUAAUACUGUCGCUAUCAUGCAGCUAAUAAAGAUUAUGUGUUUUUUUAUAAUCACUUUAAUCACAUAUAUUCUGCAGUCUAUUUACAAAAUAAAAAUAUAUGUUAGUCCUAGUUCCUAUUGCAGCAUUUUCCUUUUGUUAUCCUUUGUUAAGGAACAAAUCAUUUGUAUGUAAAAUAUUUGUUUUCCUGGUUUAUCAAAAAUAAAUAAAA